GACGGGAUGGCCGAGUGGUUAAGGCGAUGCCCUGCUAAGGCAUUGGGUUCGCCCGCGCGUGUUCGAAUCACGUUUCCGUCG
rnacentral:tRNA from 4 species